UACGGAGGGUGCAAGCGUUAUCCGGAAUCAUUGGGUUUAAAGGGUCCGCAGGCGGUCUUAUAAGUCAGUGGUGAAAGCCUACAGCUCAACUGUAGAACUGCCAUUGAUACUGUAAGACUUGAAUUCGAUCGAAGUGGGCGGAAUAUGACAUGUAGCGGUGAAAUGCUUAGAUAUGUCAUAGAACACCGAUAGCGAAGGCAGCUCACUAGGGCUGGAUUGACGCUCAGGGACGAAAGCGUGGGGAGCAAACAGG
rnacentral:rRNA from 1 species